UCCGCGGCAUGUGGGGAUCCUCCCGGACCGGGGCACGAACCCACGUCCCCUGCAUUGGCAGGCGGACUCUCAACCACUGUGCCACCAGGGAAGCCCGGAACUUUCCAUUUUGACAUUUGGAAACAUCCAGAGGUCUUUUUGGACAGUAAUGGCUUUUGUCUCUAAACCUAUUCCUGUCAUUGGGAGGGAAGAUGUCUUAAUUUUAUAAAACAAGUGGCACCUCCAGCGUGAGAUUAAUCCAGGGUCGGGCCCUUGGAGGCGACCUUCACCCUGAAACUUUGUGGAGAGGACUUUGGGAGAAAUGCCUCUGGGCCGAGUGUCCGGACUGAGUGUCCAGGCUGCCGCAGCCCACCCUGUCCCCUCCCCCAACUGCAUCCUGGAGAUCUGUCUCCUGGCCUUAUGGUUUUCCUUUGGGUUUUUAAAAGGGGAACAUAUGUGCUCCUGUUUUUGUUCCCUUUCUGCUACCAGGGUUCACUCCUUUAGUUUCCUUAGGCAAUUCUAGCAAAAAUCUCGAGUGAAAGAUGGACGGUGAUAUACUAGGCAAGGAGGCAGCUGGAAAGUCUCCCGAGUUGGCUGUUGUGUUCUGAAGCCCCACCCCCUCUGCAUCCCUGAUGUGGGUACCAAUUCAGGUGCCUUUGAGAUGUCUUCCGACUUGGAAAAGCACUGCCCGCUCCUAGCUGCUUGGGUCUGAACCUCAUUCCAGACGGCAAGUGGCAGGAUGGCGGAGCUGUUCUGGCCAAUUAAGGCUGGCUGUUAUUUUUUAGAGCCUUGCAGUUGGUUCCUUGGAGCGUGUCCACAGCUUUUGCUUUGGGGAGGAAUUGAGUCGGCAGGAGGAAGGCAAGGACGUGGCCCAGCCCCAGGAACUAAGAUGAAAACAGACUAACUCGCAGUCACCUUCUCAACCCAGUUUCCCAUGUUGCCAGGGCUCAGACCCGGUGCCUGCAGCCUCCCUGUCCCAGCUCCGACCCACGCACCCCGCCCACCUUCCCGUGCAGCCUGGAUCCUCUCUGUCCGCCCUCACCUCUGACCUUCGCCAUCUGCUCUCCACGCAGCGGCCGGUCGUCCCGUCAUCUUGAGACUCAGCACUCUUCAGUGGACUCUUUCAGAAGAAAAGCCAAAGGCAAGAGGCCUCAGGAGGUCAGGCCUCGGCCCCGCCACCUCCGUGACUCGGUGUCCCUGCUCGCAGGGACGGCGCCUGCCCCACUGGAUGCUCUUCCCGGACACCCGCAGCCCUCGCCCUCAUGCCCUCUGGGGCCUCAGGUCGCCUUUUCCCCGUCCCGGAGCCUCCGCCUUCCCUGCUGCGUCCUUCUGGGCAGAGGCGGGUCACUGGCUGUCCCCCAGGAUUUGCUUUGGCUACCGCCUGUCUCCUUCUUCACGUGCGGCUCCUGAUAACCAGCGUUCUCGCCCGGACCUGGGGCACCCAGCGCCUAGCACUCAGUCCAUUUUUCCCGAAAGGGACAAUACACACCAAGAGAGAUGCUGAUCUCUUUUCUUCCCCAAAACAAAAUCGCUGGAGACGCUUGAGCCGUGUCGGCUGCCCGGGAACGAGGACGGGCCUUCCAGAUGCUGGGACUCCCAGCGCCAGCAUCCUCACCCGCUUUCUUCUGACCUUUUGAUCCCAAGGCCCAAGAGGUCCAGGAAGAGAGCGGACUGAGCACGUGGGCAGCUGGCACGGGUUCCCAGGCGACUGACCUCCCCCUGCUCUGGAGCCGCGGCCCUGGGAGCUUCCCGACGAUCUCCGACCAGGAUUUGAGGUGAACGGCUUCCCUUCCCGGUCCCAAGGAGAGCAUCUGUCCCCCGGUGCCCUGGACGCCAUGGAACUGGUAAUUGUUGGCCCUGCAUCUUCUCAGGCUGCAAAACUUAAGUCACAGUCUGUUUGUUGCCUCAGUUUCUGGCUUGUUUAUCAAGGUCCACUCCUGAGAAAAACGUCCUGUUAUCCUCUCUCAGGUAAUCUACCUCCAAGGAUCUGCCUCUGCCUGAGACAGAGGGACUCUGUGCUAGGUUCCGAGGAGCCUUGUUUUCCAUUUUCAGUCUCCCAAACUCAAGGACGAGGGACCUCACGAUGUAUAUAGUGUGACUUUCUUUCCUUUUGGCCACAAUCAGAUCAUCUCAAGCUCUAACCCUGGUUCUCUUCCUUUAUCAGAAGCGUGUGUUCUUACUGUUGAUUGUGGCUCUCAUUUACCAAACACAUAACCUCUUUAUCCUCACAAACCCUGGAGUGAGGCCAGCCUCACCUGGGGGACUGGGGGUGAGAGAUCAGAGGCAGGUGACUGCUUGAAGCAAACAGCACGGCCAGGAUUCACACUCAGUCCUGACCUUAAGCUGGAAAUAAAACUGCUUGAAAAAUCAUUUGAAA